GAUGAACGCUGGCGGCGUGCCUAAUACAUGCAAGUCGAGCGAACAGACGAGGAGCUUGCUCCUCUGACGUUAGCGGCGGACGGGUGAGUAACACGUGGAUAACCUACCUAUAAGACUGGGAUAACUUCGGGAAACCGGAGCUAAUACCGGAUAAUAUAUUGAACCGCAUGGUUCAAUAGUGAAAGACGGUUUUGCUGUCACUUAUAGAUGGAUCCGCGCCGCAUUAGCUAGUUGGUAAGGUAACGGCUUACCAAGGCAACGAUGCGUAGCCGACCUGAGAGGGGGAUCGGCCACACUGGAACUGAGACACGGUCCAGACUCCUACGGGAGGCAGCAGUAGGGAAUCUUCCGCAAUGGGCGAAAGCCUGACGGAGCAACGCCGCGUGAGUGAUGAAGGUCUUCGGAUCGUAAAACUCUGUUAUGAGGGAAGAACAAAUGUGUAAGUAACUAUGCACGUCUUGACGGUACCUAAGCAGAAAGCCACGGCUAACUACGU
rnacentral:rRNA from 1 species